rnacentral:rRNA from 1 species
GAUGAACGCUGGCGGCGUGCCUAAUACAUGCAAGUCGAGCGAACAGACGAGGAGUUUGCUCCUCUGACGUUAGCGGCGGACGGGUGAGUAACACGUGGAUAACCUACCUAUAAGACUGGGAUAACUUCGGGAAACCGGAGCUAAUACGGGAUAAUAUAUUGAACCGCAUGGUUCAAUAGUGAAAGACGGUUUUGCUGUCACUUAUAGAUGGAUCCGUGCCGCAUUAGCUAGUUGGUAAGGUAACGGCUUACCAAGGCACCGAUGCGUAUCCGACCUGAGAGGGUGAUCGGCCACACUGGAACUGAGACACGGUCCAGACUCCUACGAGAGGCAGCAGUAGGGAAGCGUCCGCAAUGGGCGAAAGCCUUACGGAGCAACGCCGCGUGAGUUAUGAAGGUCUUCGGAGCGUAAAACUCUGUUAUUAGGGAAGAACAAAUGUGUAAGUAACUAUGCACGUCUUGACGGUACCUAAUCAGAAAGCCACGGCUAACUACGUG